AGUCAACUGGAGGUAUCAAAACUACUGAAAUUUUGUUAUGAUCAAUAUUUGAAUAAAAUGAGGACAUGCUGGUAUCCUAAAUUUAUGCGAACAAAAAUUUGUUGUUAUUAUAUUGCAAUAUUGCUGUCCAUUGUCAUGAUUGUAUUAUACAUUGAAUCCUGACAUAAAAAAAUAUGGCUGAUUUACUAUGUGGGUAUAUAGAUUUACAAAUUAAAGUGCAUAUAUGGUAAGUUUUGGUGGAUGCGGUCAAAUAAUUUUGUUGUACAAGUCAACUGGAGGCAUUAAAACUACUGAAAUUUUGUUACGUAUCAGUAUUUUAAGUUAAAAGAGGACAUGCUGGCACCCUUAAUUUAGGUGAACAAAAAUUUGUUGUUAUUAUAUUGCAAUAUUGCUGUCCAUUGUCAUGAUUGUAUUAUACAUUGAAUCCUGACAUUAAAAAUAAGGCUGAUUUACUAUGCUGGUAUAUAGAUUUACAAUUUAAAGUUCACAUAUGGUCAGUUUUGGUAAUGUGGUCAAAUAAUUUUGUUGUACAAGUCAGCUGGAGGUAUCAAAACUACUGAAAUUUUGUUACGUAUCAAUAUUUUGAAUAAAAUGAGGACAUGCUGGUAUCCUAAAUUUAUGCGAACCAAAAUUUUUUGUUAUUAUAUUGCAAUUUUGCUGUCCAUUGUCAUGAUUGUAUUAUACAUUGAAUCCUGACAUCAAAAAUGUGGCUGAUUUACUAUGCGGGUAUAUAGAUUUACAAAUUAAAGUGCACAUAUGGUCAGUUUUGGUGGAUGCGGUCAAAUAAUUUUGUUGUACAAGUCAACUGGAGGUAUCAAAACUACUGAAAUUUUG
rnacentral:lncRNA from 1 species